GAACCUAGUUGCUUUCUUAUUAGUUUGUAGAAGCAGUGGUUGACCAAGUAGGGACUUUGGGGUGCUAUUUUCAAAUUUUAGUUUCCAAAAAUAAAAUUUANAACUGUAAUAGUAGUGAAAGUCAUUAAGACUUGGACUUAGAAGAUGUUGUUUGAUGGUUGAUGUUUCCUAUCUAGGAAGCUUGUAUUUGACUUUUCUUUAGAGUAUUUACUCGUUUGUUUUGUUUAAGAUAUCUGUGACUUUUUAUUGUAAUUAUGAAUGUCAUAAAGUUUGAGUAAACUNACUGUUGUUUAGAAUUUAUAUGUAUACUAUAUGGUAUGAACUAAAAAAAUGUUUCAAAAAAAGCAAUUUUGGGGUCAGCUGUAAUGUGCCACUUUUUGAGAUUUAAAAUGCUGAUAUGUUUCCUCUGUAUUCUUCUUUCUUUCGUUAUCUGUUUCUUUUAUGUUCUUUGUUGCUGGGUUCUUUAAUGAGGAGUUUGCUCCUCAUGUGAUAUCCCUAAAAUCUGCAGUGAAAUACCAGAUUCUAUUAGUUUUGUUAAUAAUACUAUUGUUGCUUGAUAUGGAGCUAAUUGUAUAAGUUGCCUAUGAGCUAAUGAAACAGAUCCCAUGACACCAACCUCUGUCGAGCAAACANAACAACAAACUUAGAAUGGAGUAAUGGGUUUGAUGUUUUUUUCCUUCCCUG
rnacentral:lncRNA from 1 species